CUCUAGAAAUUAGUCGUUUUGAAGUGAUCUUCAGCGAUUUUAACAUGAUUUGUCAUCUUAAGGCGGAUUUUGAAUCGUCGCUGUCAACCCUUUUCUGGGCCUUCAUCAGUGGCUAGCGACGACCGGAAUACUAAAGAUUCACGCCAGGAAAAAACAGACAAUUUGACGUUAUUGUUCUAGCGUAUGAUCUAUCUAACAUUUGGCAUUUCUUUUCUGAAGUUUGACAUUUCUUUUCUAACGUAUAACACUUCUUAUGCUUGA